rnacentral:tRNA from 1 species
ACCUGGCUGGCUCAAUCAGUAGAGCAUGUGACUGUUGAUCUCAGGGUUGUAAGUUUGAGCCCCAUGCUGGGUA